GGUGCCCUAACCGUGCGAAGGUAGCAUAAUCACGUUGUUCUUUAAAUGGGGACUAGUAUCGACGGCAUCACGAGGGUUACACUGUCUCCGUUUCAUCCAAUCAGCUGAAACUGAUCUCCCCGAUGAAGAAGCGGGGAUAAGAUUAUUAGACGAGAAGACCCCAUGGAGCUUUAAGCUCAACAACAGCUCCUAUGAAAAUAAUUCACCAUAGUACACGAACCCUGUUUGUUAGCUUUAGGUUGGGGUGACCGCGGAGUAUAAUACAACCUCCACGGCGAACGGGUUUAAGACCCUAAUCCAAGAGCCACUGCUCUAAGAAUCAUCAAAUUGACGUACAAUGAUCCGAUUUUCGAUCAACGAACCAAGUUACCCUGGGGAUAACAGCGCAAUCCAUUUCUAGAGCCCCUAUCGACAAAUGGGUUUACGACCUCGAUGUUGGAUCAGGGUAUCCUAGUGGUGCAUCCGC
rnacentral:rRNA from 1 species